CUUGUUUCGCCAUAGCUUGGGGUGCAUUCCUCCCCGACGUCCCGGGCACCAUGGAAACCGCCCGGGUUAGCCCCCACCCCCCACCCUGCCCCUAAAUUCAGUUGUCCCCCAACUCCCGGAGGACAUCGCUGGAUGAUCCCUCACAUCCUUCCGAGAGUUCUGGGGUGAUGGUUACAACUCGAGUUGCACAUUAGAAUCAAGGAUGGGUGGCAGUGAAGAGAGAUGGUUUGGGAUGUAAGAGGGCUUGCUGCUUUCCCAGAGGACCCUGGUUCAGUUCCCGCCACUCACACUGAGUGGCUCACCAACAUGGAGGAAAUCUCGUACCCUCUUCCAGCCUCGGGCACCAGCACACAUGGGCACGUGUAUACAGACAUAAAGGUAUCUGCAGGCACACAUUGUGGAACAUGGGUCUACACACCUGAGGGAUUUCUUUCCGAUAGAGGGCUCUGGUUUGGGAUUGAGCCCAAUCGCCAGGGAAUGAAGGAAUCUCUGGAACUGUGAACUCCAUCCAGCCUGGCCCCUGAAGGAUACCAGCAAAGUUUCCCCCCUGGUGGUGAAGAGCAGCUUGACACAGUGUGGGAUGUGGGACUGAUGCAGAUGGUCCACAGCAGCAGACUAUUUGCCUCAUGCUGGCUCUGAGAGGAGCUCUUUGCCAGCUGCAGAUAUUUUAAAUCUGAGGACUCUGGAGAGAGAACAAAUGCCAGAGCCCAGAGAGUGUGGAGGAGCUCCGAGAAAGAACAGGCUGCUGCUGCUUCCUCCUGUGGUUCCUGAUUGCUGACGAUGCAGUGAGACAAGAAGUUGGAGAUCUCCUGGAAGGAGGAUUGGACUGGCUAUAAGGAACCUGAUGACCCUAACCAGCAGGAAGCAGCUAAGAGAACUGAGGCCCCUCUCCCACUAACCCUUUAUUCUACCUGGUGUUGGGAUGUUGGAAGGGAUUGGGUGGAGCAGGGAGAAAGAGUUAUAAGAAACAUAAAUAAAUGAGUUUUUAAAAAGUACACCAACACAGGCCCUAAUGAGAAGUGGAGCAGCUUGAACAUCAUGAAGAAGAGAUGGAACUGGAGACUUGAGGGUGGAGGGUGUUGGGCUUCAGACCCAGACAAGCAGCUUGAAGUGCCUUUUCAACCAAGGUGGAUCUGACCUCCAGGUUCUCCCAGCAUCCUUUGGUCCCUACCUGCUGCAGGGCAUGGCUGCCCUCUCCAUCCCAGAGAUUCUUCACUAUAUAAUUCAGACAUUUUGGGUUCCCUCUCUCUUCUUCUCUUUUUCUUCUCUCUCUUCUUUCUGCAUUUCUUCUUCUUCUCCUCCUCCUCCUUCCCUCUCUCUUUCUGUCUGUCUCUCCCUCCCUUCCCCAGCCCCUCCCUCUGUUUGGAUACUUU